AUUGAACGCUGGCGGCAGGCCUAACACAUGCAAGUCGAGCGAGCGGCGGACGGGUGAGUAAUGUCUGGGAAACUGCCCGAUGGAGGGGGAUAACUACUGGAAACGGUAGCUAAUACCGCAUACCAUCAGAUGUGCCCCGAUGGGAUUAGCUAGUAGGGGGGGAAACGGCUCACCUAGGCGACGAUCCCUAGCUGGUCUGAGAGGAUGACCAGCCACACUGGAACUGAGACACGGUACAGGCUCCUAAGGGAGGCAGCAGUUGGGAAUAUUGCACAAUGGGCGCAAGCCUGAUGCAGCCAUGCGGCGUGUGUGAAGAAGGCCUUCUGGUUGUAAAGCACUUUAAGCGAGGAUGCGUUACUCGCAGAAGAAGCACCGGCUAACUCUGUGCCAGCCGCCGCGGUAAUUC
rnacentral:rRNA from 1 species